UGUUCCACAGGGAUGCUGGCCCAUGUUGACUCUACAAGGUGUUGAAAGUGUUCCACAGGGAUGCUGGCCCAUGUUGACUCUACAAGGUGUUGAAAGCGUUCCACAGGGAUGCUGGCCCAUGUUGACUCUACAAGGUGUUGAAAGCGUUCCACAGGGAUGCUGGCCCAUGUUGACUCUACAAGGUGUUGAAAGUGUUCCACAGGGAUGCUGGCCCAUGUUGACUCUACAAGGUGUUGAAAGCGUUCCACAGGGAUGCUGGCCCAUGUUGUCUCCAAUGCUUCCCACAGUUGUGUCAAGUUGUCUGGAUGUCCUUUGGGUGGUGGACUGUUCUUGAUGAACACGGGAAACUGUUGUUCAUGAAAAACCCAGCAGCGUUGCAGUUCCUGAUACAAACCGGUGCGCCUGGCACCUACUACCAUACCCUGUUCAAAUGCAUUUAAUAUUUUGUUUUGCUCAUUCACCCUCUGAAUGGCACACAUACACAGUCCGUGUCUCAAGGCUUAAAAGUCAUUUUAACCUGGCUCCUCCCCUUCACUGAUGAGUGAAGGUGAUUUAACAUGUGACUACAUUAAGGGAUCAUAGCUUUCACCUGGUCAGUCUGUCAUGGAAAGAGCAGGUGUUCAUAAUGUUUUGUACCCUCAGUGCGCUUACAUUUAUUUUGUAUAAGACCCAAGUAUUUGGAAUAUGAACCCAGGAAAUGUGUUUGGUUGAAAUACAAGCAUGCAUUAGGUAGGACAGUAUUUUGUGGUGCAUUAGGUAGGACAGUAUUUUGUGGUGCACAACCAUGCAUUAGGUAGGACAGUAUUUUGUGGUGCACAACCAUGCAUUAGGUAGGACAGUAUUUUGUGGUGCAUUAGGUAGGACAGUAUUUUGUGGUGCACAACCAUGCAUUAGGUAGGACAGUAUUUUGUGGUGCAUUAGGUAGGACAGUAUUUUGUGGUGCACAACCAUGCAUUAGGUAGGACAGUAUUUUGUGGUGCACAACCAUGCAUUAGGUAGGACAGUAUUUUGUGGUGCACAACCAUGCAUUAGGUAGGACAGUAUUUUGUGGUGCACAACCAUGCAUUAGGUAGGACAGUAUUUUGUGGUGCACAACCAAACACUUCCCCUGGGUUUUGUGUCAUGCAUUGUGAGCAGCCCCUGAUCUCUGUCUGUCUGCUUUAUCUGCCUUUACUGGUAGAUCACAUCUGUUGCCAAAGUAGCUGAUUGCUUUCCUGAAAGUGGUCUGUUUUGAACUGAAACGGCUACUGACAUCCAUGUUCUGAGCAGCC